rnacentral:lncRNA from 1 species
CUGUAUAUGAAAACAUGACAGAUGACCAUGGAUUAAGUGCCAACCUUGAGGAUUUACUCAAGAAGGCCUAAGCAACUCAAGAGUGAGAUCCCUAGAAUCUUUCAUGGAGCCUCUGAUUUGGGCCCAAAAGGAAAAGAAAUUCAGAGGAGACAGUGACUCUCAGACUCUCCCUUGUUAAUGAGCAAGAGUUCCCUGGAUCCAAGAGCAGAAAGCUCUGGCUUAUGCACUCAAAAAGCUAAAGCUGACCCAGAAGUUAUGCUUAGAGAAGAAAAAGAAGAAGAAAGAGCCUCUUAUGUAACUUGAAGAGCAUAACGGACCCAAUGAUAAAAACCACUGCCAUGAACUUUUCUGAAGCAUAAUAAAUCUCUGCCAGCCAUUGCCAAGAUCCUGAAAUGGGAGCCAUGUGGAAAGAGGACUGACUUGGAAAUCAGAUUCAGGGUCCUGCCUAGCUUUCUUCCAGAUGAUCCCACCAAUCAGCCAUCUGGUCUCAGGGGAAUACAUGGCUUCCUCCUGACUUCUUUGCAUUUUCCCAGUACCUUUGAUUUUGGAAAUACUAUGAGAAUGAUGGCUACAUUUUUUCAGUGUUGGAAAUUCCUGGUAUGUCUCAGAAGCAAGGAAUCACAGGAUAUCUACUUUUCAGUGGUGAGUAUGCCUCUCACAAAAGCCACACCAUUAUUUAUAAUACCCUAAUUU